UUCUCGUUGUAUUUUCGUGUCUCUCAAAGUCGCAGCAGAGCCACAGCGUAAUUUCACCCUGUGAAAUCUCCUGAGAGGUGCAACAAUUCACCUAAAAUCAUCAAAAUCCAAAUAAUAAAAAUAACAAUGAGACGAUAAAAAGUAAUUGUCUUGUUCGACCUGUACAUACAAUACAUACGCAUGAGAUAACGACUGAUUCAGAAUCUAUUUUUAGACAUGUUAUAAUGGCACGUCUGCAUCGACUCAUAGUUUCAGAAUUGUCGCAGAGAAAACUGACCCAGAGAUUCUCAACAGAAAUGGGAGAAAAAUAUUUAAUAAAAAUAAUGGAACGCACAACUCGCUGACCGAUGGCGGAAGUGACUCAGAUAAUUUAAGCGGCGAUAUCGUAAUUUUUCGCAGGAAAUGCAGAAAAAAAUUGUAGAAAACUUGGAAAAAAACGAUGUGACACUUCGCAAAAUGCAAUCAAUUAUAGAAAAGAUACGCCAUUUCUAGUGAAUAUUUCUCUCCGUGAUAAUUAAUUGCUUGCGAUCCAUUUAAAAAUGUGUCUCAUAAUUAUGAAGGUAUCCACGGUAAUUAACAAUAUUUGUUAUAAUCGCACGAUAUAAUAAUGAAGUUAAACAAUUGUAGGGCCUAUUUAAUGCACAACUUGCGUAUUUUAGAUUAAUAAAAUUCGAUUUGAAUUGGAAAACUGUUCAAUGGGUACCUAUUUUAUAGCUCAUGCUUAUAUAGGGCAUGAAUAUAAAAAAUGACCUCCGACGAAAUGGGUAAAUCUUGUAUUCCCUGGUGAAACGAAACCGAUGUCCUGCGUUAGGAGCAGGAGAAAAAUAAUGGCCGCCUGUCAAAAAGUCC